rnacentral:rRNA from 1 species
AUAAACGCUGGCGGCGCACAUAAGACAUGCAAGUUGAACGGACUUAAUCGAAAUAUUUAUAUUUUGAAGCGGUUAGUGGCGGACUGGUGAGUAACGCGUAAGGAACCUGCCUAUUAGAGGGGAAUAACAGUGAGAAAUCAUUGCUAAUACCGCAUAUGCCAUAGAUAUCACAUGAUAACAGUGGGAAAGGAGCAAUCCGCUAAUAGAUGGCCUUGCGUCUGAUUAGAUAGUUGGUGGGGUAACGGCCUACCAAGUCGACGAUCAGUAGCCGGACUGAGAGGUUGAACGGCCACAUUGGGACUGAGAUACGGCCCAGACUCCUACGGGAGACAGCAGUCGGGAAUAUUGCGCAAUGGAGGAAACUCUGACGCAGUGACGCCGCGUAUAGGAAGAAGGUUUUCGGAUUGUAAACUAUUGUCGUUAGGGAAGAGAAAGGACAGUACCUAAGGAGGAAGCUCCGGCUAACUACGUG